rnacentral:rRNA from 1 species
AGUGAACGCUGGCGGUAUGCCUAACACAUGCAAGUCGAACGGCAGCACAGUAAGAGCUUGCUCUUACGGGUGGCGAGUGGCGGACUGGUGCGGAAUACAUCGGAAUCUACUUUUUCGUGGGGGAUAACGUAUGGAAACUUACGCUAAUACCGCAUACGACCUACGGGUGAAAGCAGGGGAUCUUCGGACCUUGCGCGAUUGAAUGAGCCGAUGUCGGAUUGGCUAGUUGGCGGGGUAAAGGCCCACCAAGGCGACGAUCCGUAGCUGGUCUGAGAGGAUGAUCAGCCACACUGGAACUGAGACACGGUCCAGACUCCUACGGGAGGCAGCAGUGGGGAAUAUUGGACAAUGGGCGCAAGCCUGAUCCAGCCAUACCGCGUGGGUGAAGAAGGCCUUCGGGUUGUAAAGCCCUUUUGUUGGGAAAGAAAAGCAGCAGGUUAAUACCCCGCUGUUCUGACGGUACCCAAAGAAUAAGCACCGGCUAACUUCGUG